rnacentral:rRNA from 1 species
CCCGCACAAGCGGUGGAGCAUGUGGUUUAAUUCGAUGCAACGCGAAGAACCUUACCUGGGCUUGACAUCCCGGGAAUCCCUUGGAAACAAGGGAGUGCCCUUCGGGGAACCUGGAGACAGGUGCUGCAUGGCUGUCGUCAGCUCGUGUCGUGAGAUGUAGGGUUAAGUCCCGCAACGAGCGCAACCCUUGUCUUUAAUUGCCAUCAUUGAGUUGGGCACUUUAAAGAGACUGCCGGUGUUAAACCGGAGGAAGGUGGGGAUGACGUCAAGUCCUCAUGGCCUUUAUGUCCAGGGCUACACACGUGCUACAAUGGACGGUACAGAGGGUCGCAAUAUCGCGAGAUGGAGCUAAUCCCAUAAAACCGAUCGUAGUCCGGAUCGCAGUCUGCAACUCGACUGCGUGAAGUCGGAAUCGCUAGUAAUCGUGAAUCAGAAUGUCACGGUGAAUACGUUCCCGGGCCUU